rnacentral:rRNA from 1 species
GAUGAACGCUGGCGGUAUGCUUAACACAUGCAAGUCGAACGGACACUUUCGGGUGUUAGUGGCGGACGGGUGAGUAACGCGUGAGAAUCUGCCUUUAGGUUCGGGACAACCAUUGGAAACGAUGGCUAAUACCGGAUAUGCAGCAAUGUGAAAGAUAUAUUGCCUAAAGAUGAGCUCGCGUCUGAUUAGCUAGUUGGUGGGGUAAAGGCCUACCAAGGCGACGAUCAGUAACUGGUCUGAGAGGAUGAUCAGUCACACUGGAACUGAGACACGGUCCAGACUCCUACGGGAGGCAGCAGUGGGGAAUUUUCCGCAAUGGGCGAAAGCCUGACGGAGCAAUACCGCGUGAGGGAGGAAGGCUCUUGGGUUGUAAACCUCUUUUCUUAGGGAAGAACAAAAUGACGGUACCUAAGGAAUAAGCAUCGGCUAACUCCGUGCCAGCAGCCGCGGUAAUACGGAGGAUGCAAGCGUUAUCCGGAAUGAUUGGGCGUAAAGCGUCCGCAGGUGGUUUUGUAAGUCUAUUGUUAAAGCGUCUGGCUCAACCAGAUAAUGGCGGUGGAAACUACAAGACUAGAGUCCGUUCGGGGCAGAGGGAAUUCCUGGUGUAGCGGUGAAAUGCGUAGAGAUCAGGAAGAACACCGGUGGCGAAAGCGCUCUGCUAGGCCGGAACUGACACUGAGGGACGAAAGCUAGGGGAGCGAAUGGGAUUAGAUACCCCAGUAGUCCUAGCCGUAAACGAUGGAUACUAGGCGUG